AGCUUGCUACUUUACCUAGCGGCGGACGGGUGAGUAAUGCUUAGGAAUCUGCCUAUUAGUGGGGGACAACAUCUCGAAAGGGAUGCUAAUACCGCAUACGUCCUACGGGAGAAAGCAGGGGAUCUUCGGACCUUGCGCUAAUAGAUGAGCCUAAGUCGGAUUAGCUAGUUGGUGGGGUAAAGGCCUACCAAGGCGACGAUCUGUAGCGGGUCUGAGAGGAUGAUCCGCCACACUGGGACUGAGACACGGCCCAGACUCCUACGGGAGGCAGCAGUGGGGAAUAUUGGACAAUGGGGGGAACCCUGAUCCAGCCAUGCCGCGUGUGUGAAGAAGGCCUUUUGGUUGUAAAGCACUUUAAGCGAGGAGGAGGCUACCGAGAUUAAUACUCUUGGAUAGUGGACGUUACUCGCAGAAUAAGCACCGGCUAACUCUGUGCCAGCAGCCGCGGUAAUACAGAGGGUGCAAGCGUUAAUCGGAUUUACUGGGCGUAAAGCGUGCGUAGGUGGCCAAUUAAGUCAAAUGUGAAAUCCCCGAGCUUAACUUGGGAAUUGCAUUCGAUACUGGUUGGCUAGAGUAUGGGAGAGGAUGGUAGAAUUCCAGGUGUAGCGGUGAAAUGCGUAGAGAUCUGGAGGAAUACCGAUGGCGAAGGCAGCCAUCUGGCCUAAUACUGACACUGAGGCACGAAAGCAUGGGGAGCAAACAGGAUUAGAUACCCUGGUAGUCCAUGCCGUAAACGAUGUCUACUAGCCGUUGGGGUCUUUGAGACUUUA
rnacentral:rRNA from 1 species